GACGAACGCUGGCGGCGUGCUUAACACAUGCAAGUCGAACGGAAAGGCCCUGCUUUUGUGGGGUGCUCGAGUGGCGAACGGGUGAGUAACACGUGAGUAACCUGCCCUUGACUUUGGGAUAACUUCAGGAAACUGGGGCUAAUACCGGAUAGGAGCUCCUGCGGCAUGGUGGGGGUUGGAAAGUUUGGGCGGUUGGGGAUGGACUCGCGGCUUAUCAGCUUGUUGGUGGGGUAGUGGCUUACCAAGGCUUUGCCGGGUAGCCGGCCUGAGAGGGUGACCGGGCACAGUGGGACUGAGGUACGGCCCAGACUCCUACGUGAGGCAGCAGUGGGGAAUAUGGCACAAUGGGCGGAAGCCUGAUGCAGCAACGCCGCGGGCGGAAUGACGGCCUUCGGGUUGUAAACCGCUUGCGCCUGUGACGAAGCGUGAGUGACGGUAACGGGUAAAGAAGCACCGGCUAACUACGUG
rnacentral:rRNA from 1 species